rnacentral:rRNA from 1 species
UUAAUUGAAGAGUUUGAUCAUGGCUCAGAUUGAACGCUGGCGGCAGGCCUAACACAUGCAAGUCGAGCGGUAACAGAGAGUAGCUUGCUACUCUGCUGACGAGCGGCGGACGGGUGAGUAAUGCUUGGGAAUAUGCCUUAUGGUGGGGGACAACAGUUGGAAACGACUGCUAAUACCGCAUGAUGUCUACGGACCAAAGUGGGGGACCUUCGGGCGUC